rnacentral:rRNA from 1 species
AACGAACGCUGGCGGCAUGCCUAACACAUGCAAGUCGAACGAGACCUUCGGGUCUAGUGGCGCACGGGUGCGUAAAGCGUGGGAACCUGCCCUUAGGCUCGGAAUAACUCUCUGACAGGGGUGCUAAUACCGGAUAAUGUAUUCGGACACAAGAUUUAUCGCCUUUGGAUGGGCCCGCGUUGGUUUAGCUAGUGGGUAGGGGAAAAGCCUACCAGGGAGACGAUCCAUAGCUGGUCUGUGAGGAUGAUCAGCCACACUGGGACUGAGACACGGCCCAGACUCCUACGGGAUGCAGCAGUGGGUAAUAUUGGCAUAUCGGCGAAAUCCUGAUCCAGCUCUGCCGCGUGAGUGAUGAAGGCCUUAGAGUUGUAAAGCUCUUUUACCCGGGAUUAUAAUGACAGUACCGAGAGAAUAAGCACCGGCUAACUCCGUG